rnacentral:rRNA from 1 species
AAACUAACAAGGAUUCCCCUAGUAGCGGCGAGCGAAGCGGGAAGAGCUCAAAUUUGUAAUCUGGCACCUUCGGUGUCCGAGUUGUAAUCUCGAGAAGUGUUUUCCGCGCCAGACCGCAUACAAGUCUGUUGGAAUACAGCGUCAUAGUGGUGAGAACCCCGUAUAUGAUGCGGAUGCCUGGUGCUCUGUGAUACACUUUCGAAGAGUCGAGUUGUUUGGGAAUGCAGCUCAAAUUGGGUGGUAAAUUCCAUCUAAAGCUAAAUAUUGGCGAGAGACCGAUAGCGAACAAGUACCGUGAGGGAAAGAUGAAAAGCACUUUGGAAAGAGAGUUAACAGUACGUGAAAUUGUUGGAAGGGAAACGCUUGAAGUCAGACUUGCUAUUUGGAAUUCAGCCGCAAGGUGUAUUUUUCAAUUUGCAGGCCAGCAUCAGUUUUCGGGGAUGGAAAAGGAUUAGGAGAAGGUAGCAGUUUCGGCUGUGUUAUAGCUCUUAAUUGGAUUCAUCCCUGGGGACUGAGGAACGCAGCUUCGGCUUAGGAUGCUGGUGGAAUGGCUUUAAACGAC